GUGGAAGACCGGUAACGGUUGGAGCUGACUGGUACUAAUAGGCCGAGGACUUGUUAC
rnacentral:rRNA from 1 species